UUGCAAUUUUCGAUAUUACGAAACCACCUCAGUUAAGCACCGUUCAUAACCUUCGUUUUGGCCCUGAAUAUUUUCAGUAAUUUCGUGAUUUUUAGCGUUGAAAUUGCCAAAAUAAAUUUAUAUUAGGAAAGUCGAGGUCACUUUUCAGCCAAAACUAACUUAAAAUUUUAAAAUUUCCAUAAUUUUUCAAUUCCUAUAACGUGUUUUCCUGUCAAGUGUUCAAGGGAUCCUUAGGCCAGUUUAAUUUGACUGUUGACAGACCGUGAAAAAAUUGAUGCAAAUUUUUAAGGUUUAAUUAUUAUUGAAAUUAAAGGAUAUAUUCAAUAUAUUUACUACAUUUCUCCCCGUACGAUAAAACUUCAAAGCUCUCAUCACAGUUGAACUUUUUUCCAUAAUCGGAAAGUUAGGUUAUUAUUGAAUUCUGAGAUAUAAAACACAGUUCUUGGACGUGAAUCUGUAUGAGAUAUCGGAUAUUAUAACUGAUAGUAUAUUUUGUCACUAAUAAUACUUAUUUUUUUCAGGCACAUAUCAAUUUAUGAGAUACAGAAAUGAAAAAAUCCUAGGAUGGCAAUUAUCAUCCCUCGGAGAGACUGUAUUAGGAAUAAAAAACCUUCUUCAGGGGUAAAGUCCUGAAGCAGUUCGUUCAGGAGAGCUUCUAUUUGAAAUAUAUGAUCUAUUUUUCAAGUUUACAUAAUGUAUUUCAUAUUAAAUUACAUACAAACUCAUAGAAUGACAAAUAUGUUUACUUUGUGUAUAAAUAUGAGAAUUUAUAGAUAACAACCUGUUCUUGGGGGCACACAUGAAUUUGUCAGAUCAUGAAAUGUAAAGCAAUGUCAAAAAAGCAUGUGUAUCGGUGAGAGUUUAUUGAAGUAGGAAAGGUUCUUCAUGGAUAAGCUUCUAGAGCAAUUCGUUCAGGAGAGUCUUUAUUUGAAGUAUAUGAUCUAUUUUUCAAGUUCUCUUAAUAUAUUUCAGAUUAAUUACAUGCAAACUCAUAGAAUGACAAAUAUCGUUUUUUCAGGUAUAUAAACAUGCGAUUUUAUACAUAACACACCGUUCUUGGGGCUAAGUCUGUAUAGAAAAUCAACCAGGAGGUUCUGUUUUUCAUAAUUAAUAUUCAGUUUCAGGCACACAUAAAUUUAUCAGAUCAUGAAAUGUCAUGUCAAAAAAGCAUGUAUCGGAGAGAGUUAAUUGAAAUAAAAAAGGUUCUUCAUG